GGCUGUUGGGAAGAACAAACACCUGAUACAGUGCUGGACACGUGGUGAGGUUCCUGGCACCCUCCAUUCUACUGGCCGUACCUCCCCAGCACUGGGGCUGGCCUCUGUGACUGGACUCCUUCCUUCUACCUGGUGUAACAACAGAAUCGUAUUCAGCCUUACAAGGAAAGAAAUUCUUUUUUUUUUUUUUUUUUUCUUUUUUUGUGG